rnacentral:rRNA from 1 species
CCUACGGGAGGCAGCAGUGGGGAAUAUUGCACAAUGGGGGAAACCCUGAUGCAGCGACGCAGCGUGAGUGAAGAAGUAUUUCGGUAUGUAAAGCUCUAUCAGCAGGGAAGAGAAUGACGGUACCUGAGUAAGAAGCCCCGGCUAACUACGUGCCAGCAGCCGCGUUAAUACGUAGGGGGCAAGCGUUAUACGGAUUUACUGGGGGUAAAGGGAGCGUAGACGGCGAAUAAAGUAUGAAGUGAAAGCCCGCGGGUCAACCGCGGAACUGCUUUGGAAACUUUUUUGCUGGAGUACCGGAGAGGUAAGCGGAAUUACUAGUGUAGCGGUGAAAUGCGUAGAUAUUAGGAGGAACACCAGUGGCGAAGGCGGCUUACUGGACGGUAACUGACGUUGAGGCUCGAAAGCGUGGGGAGCAAACAGGAUUAGAUACCCUAGUAGUC